AUUUCCAAGAUCUUUCUUUUCACACCUUAAAACAAUAAGACAUGUUAUGUAGACACUCACUCCAAUUAAGAUGCUAUCAAGCUCCAAUAUCUGAUGUUUGCAGUACUUACAUCUACAUUUCUGAUGCUUACAGUGUGUUUAAGUGGAAAAAAAAAGAAAGCCAGAAGAUAGAGGAAGAGGAUGAUGAACUGGUGCAUGCAGAAGAAUAACCAGUUUCUCAUCUGCAGAACUCAAAGUGAAACAUCGUGUGGCAGGAGGUAAUAUACUUGCACUAACUCAAGCAAUUAGUUUCAUCUACUUGUACUUUGCAUAAAACAUCAUUGUUGUGUGCGUAUAUGCUUAGAGAGACAGAGAAAGUUCAGUGUAAGAAACAAAGUGGACAUUACAUAUGAACUUAAACAUCACAUUUAGAAGAGGAGGCUUAAUCUUCUUCUGAGGUUCCUAAUGCAAGAUUGUAUGCACGUAGAGAGGAUGCAGCCGCAGAAGAACCAAUUCAAAAGAUCUGAGAAAUCUGAGGCUGCUAAUGAAGAAUUGGAGAGCAAUGGAAAUGCAUUUUGUACCUAACGAAUAAGGAGCAAAACCUCCUAUUGCUUGUGCCAAUGGGAAGAAGAGG
rnacentral:lncRNA from 1 species